rnacentral:rRNA from 1 species
AAGGGCUGCGGUAAUUUGACCGUGCAAAGGUAGCAUAAUCAAUAGUCUCUUAAUUGGAGGCUUGAAUGAAAGGUUUGACGGAAAGAAUACUGUCUCAAUAAUUUAUAUUGAAUUUAACUUUUGUGUGAAAAGGCAUUAAUAAUUUAGAGGGACGAUAAGACCCUAUAAAACUUUACAUAUGUUAUGUUAUCUAUUAGAGUUGAUUAAUAAUUAUAAGAUGACUAAGUUUGUUUUGCUGGGGCGGCAUGAAUAUAAUUUUUAACUGUUUUUAAAAUGAAAUGCUGAUAAGCAGAUUUUGGUCCUUCAUUGAGGAGAUAAGAGUAAGUUACUUUAGGGAUAACAGCAUAAUUUUUCUUGAGAGUUCAUAUCGAAGGAAUUAGUUGUGACCUCGAUGUUGAAUUAAAUUAUCUUCUAGGUGCAGUAGUUUAGGAAGAAGGCCUGUUCGGCCUAUAAAUAUUU